CCUGUGGGACCCGACGUGAGGAACGUGGCAUUUUUUUUUGUUCUCUUAGGCUCUGUUUGGAAAACGUCAGUUUUCAUACCCCAAACAAGAUAAAUUAUGUUGUAUAUUAGAAAACUAGAUUAAUAAAUUAUUAAGAACUCGUAAUCUACACUAUCCUAGAUAAAAUCAGAUUAUGAGUUGCUAAUGACUCAUUAUCCUUGUAAAAUUGAAGGUAACUAAUAAGUUCUGCCGCAGUCACUUUUCUCCUUUUUUUUCUCAGCUCACGCAUAGGACAAACAUGUCAUCAUGCAAUGUAAAAACUGGAUUACAAUUUAUAUAAU
rnacentral:lncRNA from 1 species